rnacentral:lncRNA from 1 species
UCUGAGAUAAAUUAUGUUGCCAAUACUAAAUAUAGUUGUGCCUGUCUUCUGGCAAUGAUUUUUUGUUUGUUUAAUCUCUGCCAAAUCAUCAGGAGAGAAAUUUUUCCAGUGAUCUGUCCUGGAUCCUUUCAUACCAAGAAAAAUGUCCUGGUGAUGACACAACAAAAACUGUUGCACUCACUUUAAAUUGUCUGCUGGGUUAGCUAUCCUAACCAGACACCUCUAACCAUUGCUUUGUCUUCUAACCUUAUCAAUAGGUCUAUCACAAACAACAGGGAAUGAUUCCAGCUUUUGCAACUCCCAAAGAAAAUUCUCCUCUCUACCUCCAUAAGUCCACCAUCCACAUUCUCAUCAUUGCCUGGGGCAAAUGAAUAGCAUCCAAAUGAUGACAAAAUGGUGAUAAGAGAGCAAGUCUUUAAGGAAACACCACCAGUAACUCUGAGAGCUCAGAAGACUGAGGCAUUCUCUCUAAAAUGAGGCAGCCCUGGAUUUUCCAAGGUUAGGAAGAACAUAAUAGUCUCAUGUAUGGAUAAAUGGAGAAAAGCAAUCAAUGGUAAGUAGUUAUAGCCAAUAAACAUUUGAAGUAGAGAGAUCAAUGAAGAAUGGAGCAAUAAAAGAAAGCCUAAUGAAGGAGGUGGGUACUCCUAGAAAUUCAGCUAACAAAUCAAAAACUGAUCUAAGACAAAUGGCUUUCAGAAAAGAUUCCUCCUUCCUCUUCUCCCUACUUCUUCUCCUCCUCCAAGCCAGACUGGGAUACAAGUAACACAUAUAAAACAUUCCAGCAGCUCACAUUAAUGAGUUCAUGAAAACCUAAUCGUUAUCUACUCUCUAUAUUAAAAUUAUAUCUCACA